CUUUGUCGAUUUAUUUUUGUUGUCAUAGGACGCAAGAUGUAGUAGAGGUGUAGAUCAUUUCUUUUUCACUAUCAUAACAUAAGUACCGUUACAAGAUGGCGGAGAGGUCUCGAAGUUCGUACACUAGUUAGAAAUCGCACAAUCACUAUUAUAUCCACUUUACGAACUUUUUUCACUUCAAAACUGUAGGCGCUAUUAAAAAAUUAUAUUAGUCCAAAAUAGUCGAAGUAUCGAUUGUAUUAAAAAAAAAAUAUUGUUCGCGGCAGCUAGAAACUGGUUUCCUCACACGAAAAAGAAUUGAAAGGAAGUAAAACUAUAGUUUUAUGAAUUUCUUAAUUUUUCUUUCUUAAAAAUGUACUAAUAAAAAAGAGAAGAAACGUGACUAUACCAACGCAACUGAGAAUCGAGACACAAGAUGCAAAGACAAAAGAAAAAAAGAAAAACACAAGAGAAAUGCAUCUUGGGAGCAUCGAGAUACCAAAUCAAAAAUAGAGAUAAACCUCGAAAAAUUGAGGUGUCUAAUCACCUUACAUUUAUGAGAAAUAAAAUGCUAAUAACACUAUAUACAUACGUUCAGUAUAUACUACUGUAUAUACAAUAAAAUGUAUAAUAUAUACAAUAUUUAUAGUAAUCUACAUAUAAAUAUAGAUGGGAUAUUAACACUUAACGGACGGGACACGUAGAUUUAUGUGUUUUCAUGUUAAUUUAAUGGUUUAUAUAAUUUCUUCACGAAUUCCCGGGACUGGAAAAAAAUAGACAAAAAACCACCCGUCCAUUAAGGAUGAAUACUAAUAUGAAAUUGAAUAUAUUUUCAGUUUUCCUAUUGCUCCUUGUUCUUGAAGUAACUACAUUAAUAAAUUUUAUUUUGAUUUU